CUCAGAUUGAACGCUGGCGGCAGGCCUAACACAUGCAAGUCGAGCGGAUGAAGGGAGCUUGCUCCUGGAUUCAGCGGCGGACGGGUGAGUAAUGCCUAGGAAUCUGCCUGGUAGUGGGGGAUAACGUCCGGAAACGGGCGCUAAUACCGCAUACGUCCUGAGGGAGAAAGUGGGGGAUCUUCGGACCUCACGCUAUCAGAUGAGCCUAGGUCGGAUUAGCUAGUUGGUGGGGUAAAGGCCUACCAAGGCGACGAUCCGUAACUGGUCUGAGAGGAUGAUCAGUCACACUGGAACUGAGACACGGUCCAGACUCCUACGGGAGGCAGCAGUGGGGAAUAUUGGACAAUGGGCGAAAGCCUGAUCCAGCCAUGCCGCGUGUGUGAAGAAGGUCUUCGGAUUGUAAAGCACUUUAAGUUGGGAGGAAGGGCAGUAAGUUAAUACCUUGCUGUUUUGACGUUACCAACAGAAUAAGCACCGGCUAACUUCGUGCCAGCAGCCGCGGUAAUACGAAGGGUGCAAGCGUUAAUCGGAAUUACUGGGCGUAAAGCGCGCGUAGGUGGUUCAGCAAGUUGGAUGUGAAAUCCCCGGGCUCAACCUGGGAACUGCAUCCAAAACUACUGAGCUAGAGUACGGUAGAGGGUGGUGGAAUUUCCUGUGUAGCGGUGAAAUGCGUAGAUAUAGGAAGGAACACCAGUGGCGAAGGCGACCACCUGGACUGAUACUGAC
rnacentral:rRNA from 1 species